rnacentral:lncRNA from 1 species
CUAGUUGUCCUCAUGAUUGAAAACUACUUUGCCUAGUUCACUGAAAACUUCAGAGCCAAAAAUCUAUUUAGGGAUUAUAUAAGCAGAUGUAGUUAAGAAUAGAUGCAUUUUUUUGUCUCCUGUGAUAGCAUAAGCAUCUGGAAAUAGAGGCUUAAGUCAUUUACAUUCAGUGACAUCAUAUGAAAGAGGCAGCUGUACCAACAGGAUAGGACAUAAUUUAGAUCAGCAUUUUCAUUUCUUGCAGAGAUGGGUGAAAAAUACCAAACACUGUGUCCAGUCUUGAGAAAACACCUGGUAAUCAAGGCCAUUUUCAUUUUGAAACACCAGACUGAAUGGUUAAAAGUAAAAAUCAGGAUCUUUUCACAACAUCAAAGCAAUCUCCACAAAAUUAAAGGGCUGUCCCAUAGUGGAGAUUAAAGAUGGUGGUGAUAAGACGCAUGCAGGUCAUUUCUCUGGGCCUCAUGAAUACAAUCUGCUUUCUUGCUUUUGUACUAGAUGUGGUUGGGCAAAAGAACACAAUGGUGGGCAGAAGGUAAUACUGCCUACUCUAGAAGCAUUUUAAAGUAUCAUUUAAAAUCUAGCUUCCUGGGCGAGGGAUUUAGCUCAGUGGUGCGGUCCCCUGCCUCGAAAGCUCAAGGUCCUAAAUUUAAUCCCCAGUCUGUCCCCGCCCCCCGCCCCCAAAAAUUAAGCUUCCUUUUUUUUCUUUUGGUACUGGGGAUUGAAUUCGGGUCCUUGCACUUGCGCAGCAGGUGGCAAAACCACUGAGCUAAAUCCCCAGCCCUCCUAGUUUACUCUUUACCCUUAUUACUUUUAAAGUUCAUCAAGAGACAGAAGAACGGCUUCCCCACCAAACAUGUUGAAAGUCAACAUUGAUAGAUUUCCCUCCAAUUUAGGGUAGCUGCUGUAUAUAAUAGCUACCUUCUUCCCAACAUGCCCCUACUCCCACCAAAAGAGUAACCUAAUACUUGCUCUCCUAACAGCUGGUGACAUAACAGGCUCCUCCAGUCCGUAGCCAGUACCUCACUCAACCCCACCCCAGCUCCCACAAGGCCCACCCCAGCUCCUACAAGAAGCACUCCCCAUCCUGGCCAUAUUGCUUUUGUCUCUCCUUUGUUCUGAGACAGCCCAGCAGACUGUCCCUACAAUAAAGGUUUGUUAUGGCCUGGUCUGGUCUUGGUUUUUGCCUUUUUUACCUGACAAACAUCACUUUUUUUUUUUUUUGGCAGUACUAGGGAUUGAACCAAAGGCUUUUGCACUGAGCUACAUAUCUUGUCUUUUUUUUUUUUUUUAAUUUUGAGAUUGGAUCUUGCUAAAUUGCCCAUAUUGGGCCCAAACUUGUGAUCCUCUUACCUCAGCCUCCCCAGUGCUGGGAUUACAGGGGCAUGUCACCAUGCCUGGCUAAACUGC